rnacentral:tRNA from 1 species
GGAGAGGUGGCUGAGUGGUCGAAGGCGCUCGCCUGGAGAGCGAGUGGGCGGCAAAACACCGUCCCGUGGGUUCAAAUCCCACCCUCUCCGCCA